GAGGGUAUAGCUCAGUGGUAGAGUGGAUACUUAGCAUGAAUGAGGUCCUGGGUUCAGUCCCCAGUACCUCUA
rnacentral:tRNA from 1 species